CAUAUCUCCAAAGGGGAGUAGCGUCCAAGAAUAUUUCUUGGAAACAAAGUCGUCAUUACGUAGAACUUAGUUCUUCCGGCUUUGUUGGCAUUUUCAUUACAUAUGUCUAGCAAGACCUUUGCCUAUUAACGGCAGAGGUCUUUUUUGCAUUCAUUGCCAAAUUCU
rnacentral:sRNA from 2 species